rnacentral:lncRNA from 1 species
AACUAGUAGGUGUCAUAGCAAGUCUAAGAAACUAAAAAAAGACCCUAAUAAAAGGUAGUUUGGUGCACUCAACUUUUGUGAUGUGAGUGAUUUGGGAAGAGCCAGACCAUAAGGGUCUAUUGUAUGGAACCUUACUUCGUAUUUCUGCAAAAGGUUAUUUCCACGACUCAAAUUCAUGACUUCUUGGUCACACGACAAUAAUUUUACCAGUUACGUCAACACUUUCCUUUAAAAAAAAGGAAAAAAAAACCAAUAGACAAGAAAUUAGAGAAGAUCAUGCAGCAUCAUCAGUCACACCAUUUUCACUCUCAUUGCUGAUGCUGAUGUUGAUGUUGGUGGAGUUUGUAGUUGUACUUUUGCACAAAAGAGUAGUACUCUUUUUGGAUGAACCUUUGGAAAGGCAAACAGGGUAUUUAAUGGCAU